ACCUACGGGAGGCAGCAGUGGGGAAUAUUGCACAAUGGGCGAAAGCCUGAUGCAGCAACGCCGCGUGAGCGAUGAAGGCCUUCGGGUCGUAAAACUCUGUCCUCAAGGAAGAUAAUGACGGUACUUGAGGAGGAAGCCCCGGCUAACUACGUGCCAGCAGCCGCGGUAAUACGUAGGGGGCUAGCGUUAUCCGGAUUUACUGGGUGUAAAGGGUGCGUAGGCGGUCUUGCAAGUCAGACGUGAAAACCACAGGCUCAACCUGUGGACUGCGUUUGAAACUGUGGGGCUUGAGUGAAGUAGAGGUA
rnacentral:rRNA from 1 species